rnacentral:rRNA from 1 species
UACGGAGGAUCCAAGCGUUAUCCGGAUUUAUUGGGUUUAAAGGGUGCGCAGGCGGAAGAUUAAGUCGGCGGUGAAAUUUUGCAGCUCAACUGUAAAAGUGCCAUCGAUACUGGUUUUCUUGAGUGUGGAUGAAGUAGGCGGAAUUUGUGGUGUAGCGGUGAAAUGCAUAGAUAUCACGAGGAACUCCGAUUGCGCAGGCAGCUUACUAGGCCAUUACUGACGCUCAGGCACGAAGGCGUGGGGAUCAAACAGGAUUAGAUA